rnacentral:rRNA from 1 species
UACGUAGGGUGCAGGCGUUAAUCGGAAUUACUGGGCGUAAAGCGUGCGCAGGCGGUCUUUUAAGUCAGAUGUGAAAUCCCCGGGCUUAACCUGGGAACUGCGUUUGAAACUGGAAGGCUAGAGUGUGGCAGAGGGGGGUGGAAUUCCACGUGUAGCAGUGAAAUGCGUAGAUAUGUGGAGGAACACCGAUGGCGAAGGCAAUCCCCUGGACCUGUACUGACGCUCAUGCACGAAAGCGUGGGGAGCAAACAGG